rnacentral:rRNA from 1 species
GACGUUACCUGCCCAACAGAGAACGGCCAGGUUCAUGCCAUGCCCCCCGCCGACGCGUUAGCUCCGGUGGUUGUCUUGAUUUAUUGUAUUGAAAGAGCUCAUAUGGGAUUGAGUUAGUCGGGUGUGAUGACUCUGGCCUUAACCCGGAGACGCCCUUGGAUUCUGUUCUGACUAAAUUUAGGGAGGGGAGGGAGGAAUUCCUUCUGGGUGGGUGAAUGGAAUGCAUAUUAGGAGGAACACCGGUGGCGAAGGCGCCACUCUGGACUGAAACUGACGCUGAGGAACGAAAGCAUGGGUGGCAAACAGGAUUAAAUACCCUGGUUGGCCAUGCCGUAAACGGUGGGCACUAGGUGUGGGUUCCAACUAACGGGAUCCGCGCCGUCGCUAACGCAUUAAGUGCCCCGCCUGGGGAGUACGGUCGCAAGACUAAAACUC